rnacentral:rRNA from 1 species
UACGGGGGGGGUAAGCGUUGUUCGGAAUUACUGGGCGUAAAGGGCUCGUAGGCGGCCAACUAAGUCAGACGUGAAAUCCCCGAGCUCAACCCGGGAACUGCGUCCGAUACUGGCAGGCUUGAAUUCGGGAGAGGGAUGUGGAAUUCCAGGUGUAGCGGUGAAAUGCGUAGAUAUCUGGAGGAACACCGGUGGCGAAGGCGGCAUCCUGGACCGAUAUUGACGCUGAUGCGCGAAAGCCAGGGGAGCAAACGGG